rnacentral:rRNA from 1 species
GUGGGGAAUUUUGGACAAUGGGCGCAAGCCUGAUCCAGCAAUGCCGCGUGCAGGAAGAAGGCCUUCGGGUUGUAAACUGCUUUUGUACGGAACGAAACGGUCCUGGUUAAUACCCGGGGCUAAUGACGGUACCGUAAGAAUAAGUACCGGCUAACUACGUGCCAGCAGCCGCGGUAAUACGUAGGGUGCAAGCGUUAAUCGGAAUUACUGGGCGUAAAGCGUGCGCAGGCGGUGCUGUAAGACAGGCGUGAAAUCCCCGGGCUUAACCUGGGAAUUGCGCUUGUGACUGCAGUGCUGGAGUGCGGCAGAGGGGGAUGGAAUUCCGCGUGUAGCAGUGAAAUGCGUAGAUAUGCGGAGGAACACCGAUGGCGAAGGCAAUCCCCUGGGCCUGCACUGACGCUCAUGCACGAAAGCGUGGGGAGCAAACAGGAUUAGAUACCCGAGUAGUCC